rnacentral:lncRNA from 1 species
ACUUUUCGAAAAGUAACCGAAUUAGCUUCAGGAGCUGUUAUUCUUUUGUAUCACCGCUGUUAGUGCGUAGUGAAUACUCAGAUUAGUGUAGGUUGAGGUUACGCUCGUGCUGAGGGGCCGAGCUUGUUUUUACAGUAGGGUUUGAACUGUUUUGUACUGUCGGGUGCCGUCGGGGGUUGAUGGUGGACCGGAUGUUUACAUCUUGUUUCAAAUUUGUGCCAAGGGCACAUGAGCUUUGGUUGUUACACCAGUUUGACCCAUUUGCAUUGACUAUAGCAUGUGUGAGCCUGAUUGAGCUCAACAGAGACACGAUUGUAUACUCGGUUCGGUCGCUUCCACGAGUGCCGCUCCAAAGUGAGGCUUUACUUGCGUUGGUGUCGCAGCAGUCCCGUUUAGACAGUUCUUGGACCGGCCACCCCCGUGGGUGGUGUGCGGUGUACCUCGGGUACAGGCUGGACGGGCCAGUUGGCAGUCCCUCGAGAUUGGGUCAGUGUGUAGCUAGUGAUGCAUUUCUUUGUCUACAGUGAGUCCGGUUUGGGAUAGCGGUAGUAUAGCGGCAUACAGCUGUAGAGUUUCUUCCGGCUUUCUUACUAUCUUUUAGCUAUUUGUGUCUUAUCUUACUGUAGAUUUAGUGGGUGUGUCGUUGAGGUCGGUGACUACACCCACUGAGGACUGCUCUAUUUUGCAGUAGUUCUUACACCCAGUUGUUACCACCUUUUUGCAGACUCGUCCGUUGCUGCUGCUGUUGCUGAUUCUGACCGCGGUAAGAGAGUCGCGAGCUAGAUCCCUACCAUGUUUUAGUUAUAGUAGCUCUUUAUCUCCUGUAUAGCUAUAUUCUGUUUACAGGUACAGCUAUCGCUUCGUAUACACAAAAAAUUUCUAUGUAUAUGGCGGGUUUGUUGGCGUGCACGAAAAAACGUGGUAAUCCGGGGCGUGACAGAUUAAGUUGGUAUCAGAGCUUAGAAUUAGAUCGUUGGGAUCUAGAAAACCCAAGGCUUGGCAGACCUUAGGAAGGUAAGACGCGAGAGGCGUGACUUAUUGCGAAAGUCAGCGAUUGAGUUCUUUUAAUUCCUUCUAGAGUGAAUGGAGUGACUAUAGGAGUAUCUAUUUCUGCUAGAUAAAUUAUGUCGGCUGCAGACGACAUAUUUUUACGGAGGAACAGAGAUGGCCUUCUAGACUUUCGCUUGAUUGGGUCGAGAGUUGUUUGUGUUUUAUAUCUGACCCUUAAUUUGGUUUCAGGUAGCCAUGAGGCCGUAUCAACGCUGAGGUCGACUGCCAACGCGGGAUCGUUCCGCACCACCAGAGAUGCCAGAGCAGGCGGGAUCGAGUGCACCCGUGAAUUUGAGAGAACAGUUGGCUGCCUUGACUGAGGUGACCAGGCAGCAGGGUGCGUUAUUAUAGAGGAUGUGUGAGACAUUCACUCAGCUGCCAAGUGCCGUGCCCGGAGCGUCGGAGCAGCAGGCGCCACCCCCGACUACCCCAGUGGCCGCACCAGCCACAUCUGUAUCCCCACCAGCGGCAGCUCCUACAGCACAAGUUGCACCUACUGGAGAGGCAUCACAGAUGUCAGAGGUCGAGCAAGACGGAUGACUGAGAGGCUAGCUCAUUUUUGCCGAUUUGAUCCGCCCCACUUUGAUGGUAGUUCACCGAACCCUGGGUUGUAGAGGCAUGGGUGAGUGCAAUGGAGAAGUUGUUUGAGAGCCUCUUUUUAUCGAAGCGGGAGCAGGUACAUCUGGCAGUACAUUGCUUGGCGGGUAAUGCACAUGCCUGGUGGAGGAGGAUGCGGCAGAACCGAGAUUUGGAUGCUCUACAGAUGAGAUGGGACGAGUUUUGUGGGAUGCUGUACGGGGCCUAUUUCCCAAGCAGCGUAAAACAGAAACUCGCAGAGGACCUGAAGAAACUGCAGCAGGGGGAUCAGUAAGUACAGGAGUAUACUCGGGAGUUUACGAGGCUUCUAAACUGUGUGCCGUUUAUAGCCAAGGAUGAAGCUUAUAAGGUAUAUCUGUAUGAGAGAGGUUUGAGGCCAGAGAUCUUUGUAUUGGUACAGGUGCAGAGGUUGCGGACCUUGGAUGCGUCAAUUGAGCAGGCAUUGUGGGUUGAGCGAGGAGCUGUAUCGGUCCGUGAGCGGGCGACGGUACUGGGGCAGGCUCAGGACAAGAAGUGCCCGAUUCCAAAUGAUGGAGGACAAACUAGUGGUCCGCCGAAGCCUCCACGAUCAUGCUCUCAGGGUCGUGGGUCUUUGGGGCGACAACGGUCCGGUGGAUCCCGUCAGUAACGACAACAGCAGGGAGAUCCACACUGUAUCAUUUAUGGGGGACCACACUGGCCUCGACAGUACGAGCAGAGAGAGGGCCGGUGUUUUGGAUGUGGCCAGUCGGGGCAUCUGCGGGCAGCUUGUCCCCGAGCAGGAUCACCAACACCUUCGACGGCGUCGGCCUCGCCGGUACCUCAGCAAACUUUUGGAGCACCACAGAGCUAUAGCCAGGUUGACAGGGCUUCAGUGUCGCGGCAGAGUGAGCGGCGACAGCAGGCAUCGAGUGGCAGGGUGUAUGUAGCUCAGGUUGAUGACUCCACGGCCGCAGAUCGUGUGGUUGCAGAUAUCUUUUUAAUUUCUGGCAUGAAAGCUCGUGCAUUAUUUGAUACCGGUGCAUCACAUUCUUUUGUUAGUCGAGUAUUUGCAUCAUUGCAUGGACUAGAAUAGGGCCGCUAUCACAUGCACGAGAAGUGCAGAUUCCUGACCAUGUUUUACCUGUGGCAGAGUGUUGUUGGGCUUGUCUAGUGUAGUUGAGAUCUUGGAUUAUGCCUGUAGACCUGUUGGUCUUGGGGCAGUUGCAGGACAUUGAUCUAGUGCUUGGCAUGGAUUGGCUAGCUCGGUUCUAUGCGACGAUCGACUGUGAAGCUAGGAUAGUGACGUUCCGCGAGCCAGGCUAAGAGAAGUUCAUUUACAGAGGCUGUAGGAGUACGCUGUUCGCCACCUGAAUUUCUUCAGCGAGGGCUAGACAGAUGAUUAGUCGAGCAUGCAUCGCUUUCCUGGCGAUGGUAGUAGAGGUGCCUAUGGUGGAACCGGGACUCGAGGAUAUCCCUGUAGUUCGCUAGUUCUCGGAUAUUUUUCCUCCUGAAUUGACGACUAUGCCGCCGGACAAAGAGAUUGAGUUUGUGAUUGACGUGGUUCCGGGAACUGCGCCAAUCUCGAAGGCUCCUUACAGAAUGGCACCAGCGGAGAUGAGAGAGCUAAAGACACAGCUUUAGGAUCUGAUGGAUAUGUGAGACCCAGCUUGUUGCCUUGGGGAGCGCCGGUGUUAUUCGUGAAGAAGAAGAAUGGUUCACUUAGACUGUGUGUGGAUUACCGAGAGUUGAAUAAAGUGACCAUCAAGAACAAGUAUCAUUUGCCGCGCAUUGAUGAUCUGUUUGAUCAGUUGUAAGAAUCUUGUGUCUUCUCGAAAAUUGAUCUGCAAUCAGGUUACUACCAGCUGAGGGUGAGGGUCGAAAAUGUUCCCAAGAUGGCUUUUCGAAUAUAGUACGGGCAUUAUGAGUUUACAGUGAUACCUUUUGUAUUGAUUAAUGAUCCUGCCGCUUUUAUGGAUUUGAUGAAUCGAGUAUUUAAGCCGUUCUUGGAUAAAUUUGUAGUAGUAUUCAUUGAUGAUAUUCUGAUUUACUCCCAGAGUGAUGCAGACCACGAGGAGCACUUGAGGAUUGUGUUACAACUUCUGAAAGAAAAGAAGUUGUAUGCCAAGUUGAAAAACUGCGAGUUUUGGCUUCGGGAGGUUGCUUUUUUCGGCCAUGUGAUUUCUGCAGUUGGAGUUGCAGUUGAUCCGAAGAAGAUUGAUGCGAUUCAGGAUUGGCCCAGACCGACAACGGUUACCGAGGUGAGGAGUUUACUUGGAUUGACUGGUUAUUACCGUCGGUUCGUGGAAGAUUUUGCGAAGCUUUCCACACCCCUCACUCGAUUGACUCAUAAAGGAAUCAAGUUCAUCUGGCGUGAAGAUUGUUAGAGGAGCUUCGAUGAGUUGAGGCAGAGGCUGAUGUUGGCUCCUAUUCUUGCUCUUCGUGUGAUGGGGGAAGGAUUCGUGAUCUACAGUGAUGCGUCACACAGCGGUUUGGGUUGUAUUUUGAUGCAGCAUGAUAGAGUAAUUGCUUAUGCUUCUCGGUAGUUAAAGGAUUAUGAGAAGAAUUACCCUACGCAUGAUUUUGGGCUUGCUGUUGUAGUAUUUGCUCUGAAGUUGUGGCGGCAUUAUCUGUAUGGUGAGUACUGUGAGUUCUUUACAAAUCACAAAAGUCUCAAGUAUCUGUUCAUUCAGAAGGAAUUGAACUUGAGGCAAUGCAGGUGGUUGGAGUUAUUGAAGGAUUAUGAUAUCCGUAUUCAGUAUCACCCUGGUAAGGCGAAUGUGGUGGCAGAUGUGUUGAACAGGAAGUGAGUGCAGAGCCUCAGUAUGAUGAUCACCCAACAAUGGCCGUUACUUGAGGAGUUACAGAGGUUUAAACUUGAGGUGGUGUCCCUUGGAACCACUGCUAGACUGAUAUCUAUGGUCUUGCAGCCCACUCUGUUGAAUAGGAUCAGGAAGAAACAAAGUGGAGACCCUCAUUUGUUGAGGAUUCGAGAGCAGAUAGAGAGGGGACUGACAGAGGAUUUCGCUAUGGACAGUUUGGGAGUACUGCGGUACAGGGACCAACUGUGUGUGCCUAUAGAUUCAGAGAUCCAAAAGGAGAUUUUGAGAGAGGCUCAUUACUCGCCUUAUACGGUUCACCCUGGUGGAACCAAGAUGUAUAAGAAUUUGAAGCCACAUUUCUAGUGGAAUGGAAUGAAGAGGGACAUUAAAAGAUGUAUGGCUCAGUGUCUGACUUGUCAACAGGUGAAGGCGGAGCAUCGUGUGCUUGCUGGCAAGCUUCUGAAUCUUUCAGUGCGAGAGUGGAAAUGAGAUCAGAUCACCAUGAACUUUGUCGUGGGUUUACCGAGAGCUCAGGGUGGAUUUGAUGCUAUCUGGGUGAUAGUGGAUAGACUGAUCAAGUCUGCCCACUUCCUAUCGGUGCAGACCACUUGGUCCAGGGAGCGACUCGCUGAGUUAUAUUUGGAUGAGGUAGUGUGGUCUCAUGGUGUGCCUACCUCGAUUGUAUCAAAUAGAGACCCGAGGUUCAUCUCGCGUUUCUGGAGGAGCCUUCAGACGGCUUUGGGUACGCAGCUUUAUUUUAGUAUAGCCUUUCAUCCACGGACAGAUGGUCAGUCGGAGCGGACCAUUCAGACUCUAGAGGACAUGUUGAGAGCUUGUGUUCUGGAUUUUGGAGGAAGGUGGUAUCGACACUUCAGACUGGUUGAGUUUACGUACAACAACAGCUAUCAAGCGAGCAUUUGAAUGGCUCUGUUUAAAGCGUUGUAUGGACGCAAAUGCCGAUCCCCUUUACAUUAGAGUGAUGUGGGUGAGAGGAAUAAUUUGGGCCCUGAUAUUAUGUUGGAAAUAGAGAAAAAUGUCAGAGUUGUGCGACAACAUCUUGAGACCACCCAGAGUUGGAGUUUCAAGUUGGAGACCAUGUGUACCUGAAAGUCUCGCCGUCCGGAGGGAUUCGCAAAUUUUGGGUUCGUGGAAAGCUCAGUCCACGAUUUGUUUGCCCUUUUGAGGUUUUGGAGCGAGUCGGGCCAGUGGCUUAUAGGAUUGCACUUUCCUCGCGACUUACCGGUAUCCAUAAUGUGUUCCAUGUCUCAGCUUUGAGGAGAUAUGUUUUCGACUCCUCUCACGUGAUUGACUUUACUCCACUUAAGUUAGGCGAGCACCUGAGGUACGAGGAGCGACCGGUGCGGAUUCUUGUUCGUGAGACGAAAGAAUUGCGCAACCGGGUCAUACCAUAUGUGAAAGUGCAGUGGAGUAAUCAUAAGGAGCGUGAGGCGACUUGGGAGCCGGAGACUAUGAUGCAGGAGUUCUACCCCUACUUGUUUGAGGCACCGUGUUGAGAUAUGAUUCUAAGUUUCGAGGACGAAACUUUUUGUAGUAGAGUAGGAUAUAGUGUCCCUGGGGUUUAGCUGUUUGAGAGACUUCAGCAUCUGUGGCUUGUCCACACGUCUGGUAAGUGUCGGGACAAGUCGGAGUCGUUUUGGCGCGAAUUGGACGCAAAACGGACUUGGUGCAGUGCAAGAGUGGAAUUCUGACACUAAAAUCUACAAAGUGCAGGAUUUCAAUGUUGAGAACCAGUACCUGGGAUGAGUACCGAUACCCCAAAGGGAUUACAGAUUUGAAUGCUCUCGGAUUUGUACAGUUUGAUACUGAGUACCGAUACUUGUUGGUGAGUACCGAUACUGGGACUGAGUACCGGUACUGCAUCGGGCUAGUACCACAAUCCGGCGUGCGAGUUUGCGGAAAGAGGGCCGAGUACCGAUACCCAAGUUGAGUAGCGGUACUCCAAAAGGCAAAUCGAGUUGGUAAGAGGUAUUUUGGUCUUUUUGGGCAGAUAAGUACCAACUGACCCCAGCCUUCUCUCUUUGUGCCUGAGGUUGGAGAACACAGGCUGGCUUCCUUCUUUCUCUCUCUAGCUUCUCUUCUUUGUUUCUUUGUGAUUUUGGAGAGUCGAUCUUAGUUUUUGUUCGCUUGGUCUUUGGAGGUUGCUCGCGUACCUUGGAUGGUUCCGAUGGAGGUUGAGCCAUUUGAGGUAGGGCUAGCGCGGGGUUCUCCUAUCGACUUCUAGCCGACGUUGGACGAGUGUUCGAGAUGGGUUAAUGUUUAUCGAAAUCGUCGGAUUUACUUCUAAGUCAUAGAGUUAGCAGCAUGUAUUUCUUGGCUUUGUUUAUCAUGUUUAGUAGCUCGAAUUCAUAGAUUUGCAUAUCUUUUAUGAAACCUGAAUUUGGAGCCUAAUUUAAUAAAUUUAGAAGAUUUGUUACAUGCUGGACUGGGAUUUGACUUAGGAAAAAACUCGUAGAACCUACACUGUCACUUUUCGAAAAGUAAACGAAUUAGCUUCAGGAGCUGUUAUUCUUUUGCAUCACCGCUGUUAGUGCAUAGUGGAUACUCAGAUUAGUGUAGGUUGAGGUUACGCUCGUGCUGAGGGGGCGAGCUUGAUUUUAUAGUAGGGUUUGUACUGUUUUGUACUGUCAGGUGUCGUCGGGUGUUGAUGGUGGACCCGGAUGUUUACAUCUUAUUUCAGAUUUGUGCCGAGGGCACGUG